GCUCAUCCCCUUCCUCACCUGCUCCAUCUCACCCACUUAGAUCACCGAUCCCCUCUCAGAUCGGGGGUGUUACAUUGGUAUUCAGAGCCAAAAAAAUUCUUCCCCUCGCCGCCGCUGCACCUUCUGAAACUUGGGAGGUGGAUCGGUAACACCCACCGCGCACGGUGCGAGUCCGCUCGCCGGAUCUCGCCCGAAAUCCGUCACGGGGUUCGAUCCCCUCAUUGGUUCGUCAGCCCCGCGUCCCCAUCACGGUGGCGACACGACGGAGGGCGCCAACAACAAGGAUGCCACCUAGGGGUGGCGGGGGAGCCACCGACGGGCGAGCUCUUGCUAUGGACGCGCCGAUGGGAGGGGUCCAGGAGCCACCACAGCAGCAGGAGAGUCUUCCUAGAGAGCGGAAACGGAGAGGACUCGCUCGGCAGCAGCGACGGUGAUCUCAACGGUCUUGCCGACCUCACCCACCUGGCCGUUAUGUUUUCGCACUGUUGCUGGGCGUACCUUCCGGGACCACAGAGCUGUCUGGUACAAGUUUGGACAGCAAAGCUCUGCAUGCUCGGGUGCUCACUCUGACGCCUAACGCCCUGCCUUUCCGGUAUCCUCUUCCUCGUUGGUUCCGACAUAGUUUGUUUCAGCCAUUGGCAAGAAGACUCACAUCAACAUUGUGGUCAUUUGGCAUCUUGACUCUGGCAAGUCGGCCACCACUGGGCCAUCGGAUGUACAAGCUUGGAGGUAUUGACAAGAGGUUGGAGAGGAAGCUCCUAAGAUGAAUAAGAUAAUCAUUCAAAUACGCGUGGGUGCUUGGCAAGAUGAAGGCCCAUCGGAGUUUGAUGCCCCCGAAACUAAAUCUGCAUUGUGUGCAGUGGAUUAGGAUAAAGUUUUUGGUUGGUAGUUGUUUAAAGAUCAUGUUGUUGCUCGAGUCCAAUACUCUAGACUGUGUAGUGUUUAAAGAACCCAUGACAUUUGUACACAUCUCUUCUCAGCUACAUAACAUAUUUCUCGCUCGUUAAACAAGAAAAUGGCUGGGACUUGCUUAUGUGCAAUUUGCAGUGCCUCAUUGGAUUUAUCGUGUAUAUCAACCUAUUUAUUAUCAACA